AACGAACGCUGGCGGCAUGCCUAACACAUGCAAGUCGAACGAGACCUUCGGGUCUAGUGGCGCACGGGUGCGUAACGCGUGGGAACCUGCCCUUAGGUUCGGAAUAACUCCCCGGAAGGGGUGCUAAUACCGGAUAAUGUCUUCGGACCAAAGAUUUAUCGCCUUUGGAUGGGCCCGCGUUGGAUUAGCUAGUUGGUAGGGUAAAAGCCUACCAAGGCGACGAUCCAUAGCUGGUCUGAGAGGAUGAUCAGCCACACUGGGACUGAGACACGGCCCAGACUCCUACGGGAGGCAGCAGUGGGGAAUAUUGGACAAUGGGCGAAAGCCUGAUCCAGCAAUGCCGCGUGAGUGAUGAAGGCCUUAGGGUUGUAAAGCUCUUUUACCCGGGAUGAUAAUGACAGUACCGGGAGAAUAAGCUCCGGCUAACUCUGUG
rnacentral:rRNA from 1 species